UGGGGAAUUUUGGACAAUGGGCGCAAGCCUGAUCCAGCAAUGCCGCGUGCAGGAAGAAGGCCUUCGGGUUGUAAACUGCUUUUGUCAGGGAAGAAAUCCUCUGGGUUAAUACCUCGGGGGAUGACGGUACCUGAAGAAUAAGCACCGGCUAACUACGUGCCAGCAGCCGCGGUAAUACGUAGGGUGCGAGCGUUAAUCGGAAUUACUGGGCGUAAAGCGUGCGCAGGCGGUUGUGCAAGACAGGUGUGAAAUCCCCGGGCUUAACCUGGGAACUGCACUUGUGACUGCACGGCUAGAGUGCGGUAGAGGGGGAUGGAAUUCCGCGUGUAGCAGUGAAAUGCGUAGAUAUGCGGAGGAACACCGAUGGCGAAGGCAAUCCCCUGGACCUGUACUGACGCUCAUGCACGAAAGCGUGGGGAGCAAACAGGAUUAGAUACCCUGGUAGUCCACGCCCUAAAACGAUGUCAACUGGUUGUUGGGCGGCUUGCUGUUCAGUAACGAAGCUAACGCGUGAAGUUGACCGCCUGGGGAGUACGGCCGCAAGGUUGAAACUCAAAUGAAUUGACGGGGUCAUAGCUGGUUCCUG
rnacentral:rRNA from 1 species